rnacentral:rRNA from 1 species
GUGUCAGCCGCCGCGGUAAUACGGAGGGGGUUAGCGUUGUUCGGAAUUACUGGGCGUAAAGCGCGCGUAGGCGGAUUGGAAAGUUGGGGGUGAAAUCCCGGGGCUCAACCCAGGAACUGCCUCCAAAACUUCCAGUCUGGAGUUCGAGAGAGGUGAGUGGAAUUCCGAGUGUAGAGGUGAAAUUCGUAGAUAUUCGGAGGAACACCAGUGGCGAAGGCGGCUCACUGGCUCGAUACUGACGCUGAGGUGCGAAAGUGUGGGGAGCUAACAGGAUUAGAUACCCUGGUAGUCCACGCCGUAAACGAUGAAUGCCAGCUGUCGGGCAGCAUGCUGUUCGGUGGCGCAGCUAACGCAUUAAGCAUUCCGCCUGGGGAGUACGGUCGCAAGAUUAAAACUUAAAUGAAUUGACGGGG